AUAGCUAGGGGAGCCAAUGGCUGAGAAGUAACAACUGACCCUUAUACCUGAUCUGGAUAAUGCCAGCGUAGGAAAGCUUAUACAUA
rnacentral:ncRNA from 1 species